AGCUCCAAUAGCGUAUAUUAAAGUUGUUGCGGUUAAAAAGCUCGUAGUUGGAUCUCGGCGAAUUGGGGGCGGUUCGUUAUUUGACGUUACUGCCCCAUUAAUUCGUGUUUUUGACGGAAGGUUGGAGGUCCCCUUGAUUGGGUGUCUCCGGUCGCCGUCAGGUUUACUUUGAAAAAAUUAGAGUGCUCAAAGCAGGCUUACAUGCUUGAAUAUUCGUGCAUGGAAUAAUGGAAUAGGAAGUCGUUCCUAUUUUGUUGGUUUUCGGGAAUUGACUUAAUGAUUAAUAGGGACAACUGGGGGCAUUAGUAUUCGGACGACAGAGGUGAAAUUCUUGGACCGUCUGGAGACUAACUACUGCGAAAGCAUUUGCCAAGAGUGUUUUCAUUAAUCAAGAACGAAA
rnacentral:rRNA from 1 species